ACAGAAAAUUUGGCAAACCAGCGGGACGAAACUAUUGGAGAGACGAUGUGCAUUUUGCUCGACAGAGAUUGUGUGGCUGUAAUCCAACACUGAUUCGUCUUUGUACCGAUAUACCUGACAAGUUUGCUGUGACGUCAGCAAUGCUCGAGCUUUUUCUUGAAGGACAAACACUAGGGAUGGCGUUGGAGGCAAA